rnacentral:rRNA from 1 species
GACGAACGCUGGCGGCGUGCCUAAUACAUGCAAGUAGAACGCUGAAGGAGGAGCUUGCUUCUCUGGAUGAGUUGCGAACGGGUGAGUAACGCGUAGGUAACCUGCCUGGUAGCGGGGGAUAACUAUUGGAAACGAUAGCUAAUACCGCAUAAGAGUAGAUGUCGCAUGACAUUUGCUUAAAAGGUGCAAUUGCAUCACUACCAGAUGGACCUGCGUUGUAUUAGCUAGUUGGUGAGGUAACGGCUCACCAAGGCAACGAUACAUAGCCGACCUGAGAGGGUGAUAGGCCACACUGGGACUGAGACACGGCCCAGACUCCUACGGGAGGCAGCAGAAGGGAAUAUUCGGCAAUGGACGGAAGUCUGACCGAGCAACGCCGCGUGAGUGAAGAAGGUUUUCGGAUCGUAAAGCUAUGUUGUAAGAGAAGAACGAGUGUGAGAGUGGAAAGUUCACACUGUGACGGUAUCUUAACAGAAAGGGACGGCUAACUACGUG